CGCAUGGUAGGAGAGCGUUCCGUAAGCCUGCGAAGGUGCCUUGUAAAGGGUGCUGGAGGUAUCGGAAGUGCGAAUGCUGACAUGAGUAGCGAUAAAGGGGGUGAAAGGCCCCCUCGCCGUAAGCCCAAGGUUUCCUACGCAACGUUCAUCGGCGUAGGGUGAGUCGGCCCCUAAGGCGAGGCAGAAAUGCGUAGCUGAUGGGAAGCAGGUCAAUAUUCCUGCACCGUCGUUAGAUGCGAUGGGGGGACGGAUCGCGGAAGGUUGUCCGGGUGUUGGAAGUCCCGGUCGCUGCAUUGGAGAAGGCGCUUAGGCAAAUCCGGGCGCAGGAUUCAAGGGUGUGGCGCGAGCGACUUAGGUCGCGAAGCAAUUGGAAGUGGUUCCAAGAAAAGCCUCUAAGCUUCAGUCUAACGAUGACCGUACCGCAAACCGACACAGGUGGGCGAGAUGAGUAUUCUAAGGCGCUUGAGAGAACUCGGGAGAAGGAACUCGGCAAAUUGGUACCGUAACUUCGGGAUAAGGUACGCCCUUGUAGCUUGACUGGCCUGCGCCAGGAGGGUGAAGGGGUUGCAAUAAACUGGUGGCUGCGACUGUUUAAUAAAAACACAGCACUCUGCAAACACGAAAGUGGACGUAUAGGGUGUGACGCCUGCCCGGUGCCGGAAGAUUAAAUGAUGGGGUGCAAGCUCUUGAUUGAAGUCCCGGUAAACGGCGGCCGUAACUAUAACGGUCCUAAGGUAGCGAAAUUCCUUGUCGGGUAAGUUCCGACCUGCACGAAUGGCGUAACGAUGGCCACACUGUCUCCUCCCGAGACUCAGCGAAGUUGAAGUGUUUGUGAUGAUGCAAUCUACCCGCGGCUAGACGGAAAGACCCCAUGAACCUUUACUGUAGCUUUGCAUUGGACUUUGAACCGAUCUGUGUAGGAUAGGUGGGAGGCUAUGAAACCGGAACGCUAGUUUCGGUGGAGCCGUCCUUGAAAUACCACCCUGGUUUGUUUGAGGUUCUAACCUUGGCCCGUGAUCCGGGUCGGGGACAGUGCAUGGUAGGCAGUUUGACUGGGGCGGUCUCCUCCCAAAGCGUAACGGAGGAGUACGAAGGUACGCUAGGUACGGUCGGAAAUCGUGCUGAUAGUGCAAUGGCAUAAGCGUGCUUAACUGCGAGACCGACAAGUCGAGCAGGUGCGAAAGCAGGUCAUAGUGAUCCGGUGGUUCUGUAUGGAAGGGCCAUCGCUCAACGGAUAAAAGGUACUCUGGGGAUAACAGGCUGAUACCGCCCAAGAGUUCAUAUCGACGGCGGUGUUUGGCACCUCGAUGUCGGCUCAUCUCAUCCUGGGGCUGUAGCCGGUCCCAAGGGUAUGGCUGUUCGCCAUUUAAAGAGGUACGUGAGCUGGGUUUAAAACGUCGUGAGACAGUUUGGUCCCUAUCUGCCGUGGGCGUUGGAUAUUUGAAGGGGGCUGCUCCUAGUACGAGAGGACCGGAGUGGACGAACCUCUGGUGUACCGGUUGUGACGCCAGUCGCAUCGCCGGGUAGCUAUGUUCGGAAGAGAUAACCGCUGAAAGCAUCUAAGCGGGAAACUCGCCUUAAGAUGAGAUAUCCCUGGAGGCUUGACCUCCUUGAAGGGUCGUUCGAGACCAGGACGUUGAUAGGUCAGGUGUGUAAGCGCAGUAAUGCGUUCAGCUAACUGAUACUAAUUGCCCGUAAGGCUUGAUCCUAUAAC
rnacentral:rRNA from 1 species